AAACAAACCACACUGCGGACAACAGCCGGUUUUGAUAGCCGAUGGAAUACUGAACAACUGAACUGAUCAACAACUAUAAAAUAUUUACAACAGACUCUGAAUGACCGUCAUGUUACGUAACGGCGACUACAGUAGCUGGAGACGGCAUGGAUGAUCGUUCAAAACUGGUUUCACUAUAUAUAAUAUAUAUGUGUGUAUUAUGAAGUUUUGACUCACAACAUAUCACUAUAAACGUCCUCUUGGCAUGCGACGUUAAAACUGUCCAAUCAAAAAUCGACAGGAAUAGGACGACGACCACUGUUUUACUUACGUACCUAUUAAACGUAAUAUAAACACAACACGACAAAAUGCAUUGUAAACACGGUUUGAUGACCAACAGAAAAUAUCGCGGUUGCAAAGCCACCAAAAAUACAUGCUGAAAUGCUGUCAUUUACAAAACAUUACCAAUUAAAGAAAAUGUCGUUGUGAAGACAAACAGAAAAUUGUUUUGAAACUAAAAUAUAACAUGAAAGUCUUUGACAAAAUUACCUAUUAUGUACAAAUAAAAUAAAUGGCUACGUGAAA